rnacentral:rRNA from 1 species
ACUUAGUGGCGGACGGGUGAGUAACGCGUGGGUAACCUGCCCUGUACAGGGGGACAACAGUUGGAAACGACUGCUAAUACCGCAUAAGCCCACAGGUCGGCAUCGACCAGAGGGAAAAGGAGCAAUCCGCUUUGAGAUGGCCUCGCGUCCGAUUAGCUAGUUGGUGAGGUAACGGCCCACCAAGGCAACGAUCGGUAGCCGGACUGAGAGGUUGAACGGCCACAUUGGGACUGAGACACGGCCCAGACUCC